AUAAAUAAAAUAGAUUUCACAGAGAGACAUUCCUUAUUAGAUGACACACAACAUAAAUGUGCAUUCAGACUUAUGAAUAGUAGUAAAUUUACAAUAUAAUAUA